UGCAAGUCGAACGGGAUCUUCGGAUCUAGUGGCAGACGGGUGAGUAACGCGUGGGAACCUGCCCAGUAGUAGAGAAUAACUUGAGGAAACUUAAGCUAAUACUUUAUACACCCUUCGGGGAAAAGCUUUAUGCGCUAUUGGGUGGGCCCGCGUUAGAUUAGUUUGUUGGUGAGGUAAUGGCUCACCAAGACUACGAUCUAUAGCUGGUCUGAGAGGAUGAUCAGCCACACUGGGACUGAGACACGGCCCAGACUCCUACGGGAGGCAGCAGUGGGGAAUAUUGGACAAUGGGGGCAACCCUGAUCCAGCGAUGCCGCGUGAGUGAUGAAGGCCUUCGGGUUGUAAAACUCUUUCGUCAGGGAAGAUAAUGACGGUACCUGAAGAAGAAGAUCCGGCUAACUCCGUGCCAGCAGCCGCGGUAAUACGGAGGGAUCUAGCGUUAUUCGGAAUUACUGGGCGUAAAGCGAGCGUAGGCGGAUUUGUAAGUUGGAGGUGAAAUCCCAGAGCUUAACUCUGGAACUGCCUUCAAAACUACAUUUCUUGAGUUUGGUAGAGGAGAGUGGAAUUCCUAGUGUAGAGGUGAAAUUCGUAGAUAUUAGGAGGAACACCAGUGGCGAAGGCGACUCUCUGGGCCAAUACUGACGCUGAGGUUCGAAAGCAUGGGUAGCGAACAGGAUUAGAUACCCUGGUAGUCCAUGCAGUAAACGAUGAGUGCUAGAUGUUGGGGAAUUUAAAUUUCCAGUAUCGCAGUUAGCGCGUUAAGCACUCCGCCUGGGAAGUACGGCCGCAAGGCUAAAACUCAAAUGAAUUGACGGGGACCCGCACAAGCGGUGGAUCAUGUGGUCUAAUUCGAAGAUACGCGAA
rnacentral:rRNA from 1 species